GUAAUUUGUAUAACGGGCGCUUAUAAAUUCAGGGUGUAGACUCUUCGCCCCUAGAUUUUACGACAUGCAAAAUGUAAUCCGGGAAAAAAGAGGAACUUUCUUGUUUUAGAAAUUUUACUUCAUUAAGGUGAAGAAAAAAUGGUCUGUGGCGGAGGAGACAGAUGCUUGUUUCUAAGCAGGAUAAAGGUCUGUCAGAGGCAAAAACCAGCGGUCUUCAGCCCCCACAAACCAGCGUAUUCCAUGCCACUUACCCAUUGCUUGUAAUUAUAUUCAUUAUUGUUUGUUUUUAAAUGUUUUACUUUUAAUUGUGCAUUUAAAU